rnacentral:rRNA from 1 species
UACGGGGGGGGCAAGCGUUGUUCGGAAUUACUGGGCGUAAAGGGCGCGUAGGCGGUCUACUAAGUUGGAUGUGAAAACUCUGGGCUUAACCCAGAGCCUGCAUUCAAAACUGAUAGGCUGGAGUUCUGGAGGGGAUAGCGGAAUUCCUGGUGUAGCGGUGAAAUGCGUAGAUAUCAGGAGGAACACCGAUGGCGAAGGCAGGUCUCUGGGCCACUACUGACGCUGAGAAGCGAAAGCAUGGGGAGCGAACAGG